rnacentral:piRNA from 1 species
UGCAACUUAGGUGCCGGUCCUCCU